GUAGCCUUGACUUUGGCUCCUUGCCUCGUCCUCCGACCCUCUUCCCUCUCUCCCCGCCGCUGGAAUGGAGACUUCGACCCUGCGAACCAUGACUCCGAUCAGUCGUCGCAACUCUCCGUCUCCAACGCAAGAGGAGAGAUUUGAUACCGCCUGAUGUUGGGUAUGUUAAUGAGCAAUGUUUUAUAUCUUGGUUGGAUAGGGGUGUCCUGGUUGUCUCAUCUCAUUUUUGUGAGAAAAUGAAAUCGGGAUAGAGUGGGAUUUUGAAACCUUUUCAUGUGGGGAAAGAAGAAGAAAGAGGAGAUAAAGGAAGGAAAGAAGAAGAAAAGGAAAAAUGAAAGGAAGGAAAGAGGAAGAAAAAGAAAAGAAGGAAGGGAAAAGAAAAGAAGGGAAGGAAAGAAGAAAGAAAGGAAAGAAAGAAGAAAAAGGAAAGAAAGAAAGGAGGAGGAAAGGAAGAAGAAAAAGGAAGGAAAAAAAGGAAGAAGGGAAAGAAUGAAGAAGAAAAGGAAAAAAGAAGGGAAGGAAAAAGAAAAAAGAAAGAAAGGAAAUAAAAAGUAAAAAGAAAUAAGUAAAGAGAGGAAAAAAAUAAAGAAAAGAAGAAGGGGAGAGAGAUUGAGCUUACCCAUCACACACUUUACUAGAUGGUCGUUGGGACAUGAUUGAUCAGGAGUAUAUCCUAUUCUAUAAAGAAACUAAGAUACCCCAUUCUAUGGAAUUUAAAACCUUGUUCAUGAGAACUUGGAAACAAACUUUGAUUUGAUGAGUUAUAUCUUUUAAACCAAUUCCCGAUGAUGUCAGCCUUUUAUUCUCUCUUUAUUUUUCUUUUGUCAUAGCCAUUAGUGUAGCUUCCAAUUGUGAUGUUGUAAGAACCAAGUACUUUUAUAGCCACCAUUUUCCUUAGGUUAGAUACGAAAUCAUCUUAAAUUACAUAGCUAAAAGAAACAAUAUGAUAAUUCUCGAUCACAAGGUUUCAAAUUCUAUGGGAUAGGAGUAUCCCAUUUUCUACGUCGAUUGAGAUGCCUUGCUGUCCGUCCUAUCUCGAUGGCCAUCUUGAUUCGAGCGUUAGAUAUUCUUCAUAUCUCUUUCUUUCACUUCUUUUCUUUAUAUCUUUAUUUCUUUAUUUGUUUCUUUGCUUUGUUUCUUUCCCUUUCUUUCUUUUCUUCUUUUUUCUUUUAUUUUGCUUAUCUUUUUCUUCUUCUUUCUUUCACUUCUUCCUUCUUUCCUUCUUUUCUUUUUUCAUCUCCUUUUCUUAUUUUAUUUUUUCUUUGCUUUUUCUUCUUUUAUCUAUCCUUUCUUCCUCAUUUCCUUCCAUUCUUUUUCUUCUCCUUUCUUUCCAUUCUUUAUUUUUCUUCUCCUUCCUAUCUUUUUUCCUCUCUUCUUCUUUCCUUCCUUUCUUUAUUUCCUCUUUCUUUUUCUAUUUCCAUGUGGAUGGGCUUCGGAGUCCUGUCCUUAUCUUGGUCUCCUUUUCUUAUAGGAAUAGGAUAUGAUGGCUUGGACAUUCCCUAUCACACUGAGAUUUAAAACAUUGCUCCAUCAUACUUGCCAUCAAAUCCAGACUUGCUGUUAUUGACUGUUUGAAGUUCAGCUCUCCAAGCAUGUGCAAAGCUCUCCGACUGACAGGUAUUUUCAAGAAAAUUGUGUGUGUGUGUGUGUGUAUUUUAAUCUAAAGAGCUGUGCAUGAUAGGGACCCACAUGUGUUAAGGUGCUUUGGCCUACCUGUGUUGUGCAUGGCAGAAAGCCCCUUUCAUUUGUAUAUGGAUCCCAAAACAACAGCAAAUGGUACUGGUAUUGUUGGACUCUAUGGGAUUCACAUUACAUGCGAGGAUGUACUACGUCCAGAUCCCUGUGCACGGCCUUCCAGAAAUUCCAAACAUGGGCAUCAUGCUGCAGAGUAGCCUGGGAGUUGGUUCGUGCAUGCACAACUCCGUAACUAGUUUGGCUCAGAGGUGCAUGUGAAUGGUGCAGCCUGACAUGGUUAGUAUGAAGUAUUGUAAAUAGGUGGUGGUUUCUUGUUGCAGGAUAUCUGUAAGCUGAAUGGGGACCAAAAAGAACUCACUGGAUAAGUUCAAGGGUCCCCUAAAUUUUUUAUCUUUCUAUCAAAAAUUAGUAGCAAUUUCUAAUGGAGAAAGAAGAAUCAGAUAUUUAUUUACAACAAA